rnacentral:rRNA from 1 species
AUAAACAACUCUAUACUGUGAAACUGCGAAUGGCUCAUUAAAUCAGUUAUAGUUUAUUUGAUGGUACCUUACUACAUGGAUAACUGUGGUAAUUCUAGAGCUAAUACAUGCUGAAAAGCCCCGACUUCUGGAAGGGGUGUAUUUAUUAGAUAAAAAACCAAUGGCGGGCAACCGUCUUGCGUUGAUUCAUAAUAACUUCUCGAAUCGCAUGGCCUUGCGCCGGCRAUGCUUCAUUCAAAUAUCUGCCCUAUCAACUUUCGAUGGUAGGAUARAGGCCUACCAUGGUUAUGACGGGUAACGGGRAAUAAGGGUUCRAUUCCGGAAAGAGGGCCUGARAAACGGCCCUCAGUCCUAAGGGACGCAGCAGGCGCGCAAAUUAUCCCAUCCCRACACGGGRAGAUAGUGACAAUAAAUAACAAUAUAGGGCCCUAAUGGGUCUUAUAAUUGGAAUGAGUACAAUUUAAAUCCCUUAACAAGRAUCAA